AGUGAACGCUGGCGGUAGGCCUAACACAUGCAAGUCGAACGGCAGCACCGUAAGAGCUUGCUCUUACGGGUGGCGCGUGGCGGACGGGUGCGGUAUACAUCGGAAUCUACUUUUUCGUGUGGGAUAACGUAGGGAAACUUACGCUAAUACCGCAUACGACCUACGUGUGAAAGCAGGGGAUCUUCGGACCUUGCGCGGUUGAAUGAGCCGAUGUCGGCUUAGCUAGUUGGCGGGGUAAAGGCACACCAAGGCGACGAUCCGUAGCUGGUCUGAGGGGGUGGUUCCACAGACGGGAUCUGAGGAACAGUCGAGACUCUGACGGGGGGAAGCAGUGGGGACUAUUGCGCGAUGGACGAGAGCCUGAUACUGCAAUAUCGCGGGGGUGAUGAAGCCCUUCGGGUUGUAAAGCCCUUUUGUUGGGAAAGAAGAGCAGCAGUUUAAUACCCCGCUGUUCUGACGGUACCCAAAGAAUAAGCACCGGCUAACUUCGUG
rnacentral:rRNA from 1 species